AAAGUACAUUAAAGAAGGAAAUAAAACAUCCUUUUGCAGUAUAGAUUAAAAUGCUUCAACAAAUACUUAUGUAACAUUAACACACACACACACACACACACAAAUACAGAGAGUGCAAACGAGGUUUUAGCCAAACACUAAAUAUAGAUAGGGUUUGCUAAUGAAGGAACAUUCUCAUUCCUCCAUUAAAUGUGUGUAACUACAAGGCUCAAGUUAGUGUGAGAGAGCGAUACUAUUCAAUUAAUGACAAGAACAGAGUAUACAUAGUCUGUUGAAGCGAAAAACAAAAUUCAGGGUCAAAUGGUCGUACUAUACAAAUUUCACAGGCAAUCAGCAAACCCACUAAAGACAUAGAGCUAGAAGGAACCACUGAAUACAAAUUGCUCAUUUUCAAAAGGAAGGCCAGAUAAAUUAAGGAGACUUGCUGAAGACCACAUAGCUCUCCUCGGCUAGACUAGAAUACUGGUGUCAUUUUCCUGCACCAUUUUAUCAAAAGAUGUUUAAAGCACAAAACACGAAAAGCUUUUCGAUUGUUCCCAGGUCUGUGUUAAACAUACCUGGAGAGAAACAGUGGGUUCUAGUCUCAUGAGGCUACAAGGGUCAAAGGCUCUUGAUUAUAAAACUGUGCCCUUGAGGGCACCGCUGGAAGGAAAGCUUUUCAAAGCUGAAAACCAGCAAUUAAAAAAGGAAAGGAAACAUCAUCUAUUUAAGCUGAGAGUAGCAAAAAGGCAGCAUAAUUUAUAAACACCAUUUUUUUUUUUUUUUUAACAGAGAGACUUAAAUCAUAUCAGCCUCAGAAGGUUUUUCUCAAAAAGGUUUAACUGCCUUCAGGAAAAGAUUUAUCAAAGCCUAUGCUGGAAUGAAUAUCUCCAGGCUGCCAGUUGUUUAAUUAAUAAUUUUAUAUUCAUCUUUUAUAUUUGAGAUAGGUUUUCUGUGUUUUAUAUUAGAGCACUAAAAAAUAUUAAUGUUGAAGGGUAAAUUUUUAGAUUCUAAUUUAUAACUUCACUCUGCCUCAGUCUAUUUUUUACCACUGAAAUAAAAAUGUUCAAGUAUUUAGACUGAUUAAAGUACCUUUAUCUUACUGAAAAAUCAUCAAGAAACUGCUGGAGCAAAACUAAUUCAGUUAUUAUACAAACAACAAAAAGAAAUUUCAAGUAGGCACUUUGAGCCCCAGGCUUGGGGUCAUAUAAAAAAAUGACAAAGAGUAUAAGAGCGUGAUGAAACCCUGACAGGGAUCUUGAUUAUUUCUUACAAAAGCAUUCAUUUUAAUCAGGGGCUUAGAUUUUGCUCCUUUGCCAUGGCAACAGAUAAAGAAUCCUGUACCUGGAAGGUUAUAGUGAUAGUCUUAAUUAUGCUCCCAAGAGGCAUUGUGUUAACAGUUUAGUGAUUGGAAGGGAAAGAACUAAUUCUACCCAAUUCUGAAUAAUACUUUUCCUACCCUUAUAGAGGAUAAGAUUCUACACUGGGUUAUGGGCUUUGCCAUUGACUCAUACUAUGAUUUUAGGCAAGUCUACUAACCCCUUUGUGUUUGUUUUCUCAAAUAUAUGAAAUGAGAACAUGGGGCUCAGUUUCCAUCCUGGAACUGGCUAAGUCUGUGUUCACUGGUUCAUCUAGAGUUGAAGAAGAAAAGAACCAUUUUUCCUCUUUGUUCCAUUGGUGAAGCAAUUCUGUCAUGCCUACUCUACCCUUCUGUUGUUACUUUCUGGCCUCAAAAGUGAUCAAUGUGGGAAGAUUCAGAGUACACAGAAUUAUGCUUGUUCUGUUGUGUGUAGCUUGACAUUUCACAUGACCCUUGAAUCAUCCCAUAUUGGUAUAUAAAGACUAAGGUCAGUUGCUCUACUCCCGAACAACUGCCUAUUUUACUAAUGAAAUGAAAAUAAUUCUAAUAAGGAAAAUGCAGCAACACUAAGUUUACUCAUAGAGAAAGGCAGGGGAAAGGUUCAUGCCUUUACAGCACUGUAUUAAACACUAAGGUACUCUUCAAGGCUCCCCAUUGAGUGCUCAUUGUUGUUUUAGUAAUGCUUAUUAUUCUCACUAGUGUAUCAGACUGUAGGGAGGAAGGAAUGUUUCCUUUCUUCCUACAUACUGUGCAGUUAAGGUCCCAGAAUAUUCUGAAAAUAAUAUUUUCAGAACUAUUCUGUUUCAAUAUUUUCAAUAGUUUCAAACUAUUAUGUUUAGCUUCAUGCUGGUAUAAGAAACAAGCACCCACCUGAAUUAUGAGUUUCUUAUGACAAAGAAGGAAGCAUUGUAAACCUUUCUGAAUCAAAGGUAUAAUAAACACAUACAAAAAUCAAAUGUACUGUACAAUAUCACACACAUGAGGGACAAGAUUUGAGCAUCAACAUAUUUUAAACUAUGGCAAAGCUAAACCUAGGGAAUUGGUUUUUGGUUCAUCACUAUUUCUUUCUGCACAUCUCUCUGUUCCAGAGUUUCUAAACUUGCUCCAGCUCAAAUAAAUUUUGGGUCCCAUCUCUUUACUUUUAGUGAGCUUUUAACUACCCUCUGCUAAGUUAUUCAGUAACUAGGACUUUAGAUCUUUCUAUUCCCAGGGAUAUUUACUUUUAAAAACUUGUAAAGACUAGACUCUUAAAGACUGAAAAACCUUUGAGAGUAAGAGAAGUGGAUCUUUAAAGCUGAAUUUUCACAGAUUCUUGAAUUUUUGCCCAUGUUCCUCAAAUCACAUCCUGGUAUACACUAUGGCAGUCACCAAGGGACCACAGAGAGAAACUGUUUUAAGUAUGCUUAACUACCCAUCUCCAGCUGCCACACCUUGGGGAUCAGCAGUGUUCAUGCUGAAGCCACAUCCUCUCCAGUAUUCCUUGCCAAGGACUAAGGAUGGUGUAAGUCAGGGGGGACUCCUCUUAUGAGCAGUCUUUGCCCUCGGGCGUCCCACUGGCAUAGCCAAAACUUUGUCAGAGGCUCUCUGCCAGCCCAACUUCCAUUUCCUCCUCUUUUCACAGGUGCCAGACCUGCAGGGCAGCCUGAAGGAUCUUCCCACUGCUCUUGUUCCCUCUCCCCUUUACCUUCCAAGGGCAUUUCUCCCAACAUAUCUCUUGCACUUGGCUUCUGUUUCUAGAGGAUUUGAGCAGACACAGUAUUCCAUAAAUACUUGUGCCACAUGAACGAAUCUCAGUUGGGAUGAGACAAAUGAACUAUUAGGAAGGUGAAGAGAGAGCUGAGGAAAGUAGAUUGUGUACCUACCAUGUACCAGGUGCCUGACUGUGAGAGUGACUCAGUGCAGUUGGGCUAAAAGACUAAUUGAGAUAAUGUAUGCACUGUGGUCAACAUGUAUUAUGCUCAAUAAAUAGUAGCUGUCUCUUUCUCAAUAAACACUGAAUUAAGUGUGAAAAGGACAGAUGGGUAUGAGAUACUGGGCAUUAUAGAAGAUGCAAUGAGCCAGGCAAGAGAAGAAGACAGGGGUAUUGGAAUAGGAAGCACAGUCCAAGCAGCAACUAGGCUUCAAACUCACUUGGAGCUGCUACUUCUGUUGAAGUUUUAGGCCUUCUGGAGACUGUCAGUUCUAGGUGGCCCCAAAUAUCAAAUGUGUUAAUUUUUUAGGGUCCUGUGGUUUUACAGAUUCCCAAAUAGUUAAUAUGAUGUCUAAUCUCAGUGAAAUGGGACAAUAUUGAUUUAAAUACAAAAGUUGUGCUACUCUAAGUCUAAAGACAAGGCUAUAUUUUAAAUUUGGAUUUGGGGCACUGAGUGGUGGUAGUGAUGGAAGAGGGGAGGUGAGACUUGAGAGAGAGCAUUGGGGUGAGCCUUGACUUCCUAUCUAAACUUAUUCUCAUGGGAGCAGCCAGGCUUGGUAGUUCUUUUUUCCACUAUCACUCAAAAUGCAGCCUGAUAGUGAGGUGUGUAAUCAUGGGCUUUUCUCAACUGUAAUUUGAUUACAGAGAUGUUCUAUAGGCAAGGAACAAAUUUGAGGUCAUAUUACCUCCAAAGAAGAUACAGGCUAUAAGUAGGAAAGCUACUACAGAAAAUGACAGAGGAUAAAAAGCUUAUAAAGAGAUGAUAAUCUUAUUCUGUAGCAAUAGUAAAACAUAAAAAGGAAUUAUUCUUUAAAUCAAAUGAUUACUCUCACAGCCAUUUAAAUCAUCUGCCAACAGUGACUUACAGGAGGUAAGUCCUGAUUUCUUUUAGUAAAUUAAGCCUACAAAUGAAGGCAUUCUUCAUUUAUUUCACGCCAAUACACUUGCCACAAGCAUUAUCAGUUGAGUCUCCUAAAGUGUCAUUUUUGAAACGUUAAUAAGUUCAUUUACAUUUUCCCCAGACCACUGGGGGUCAAUUUUCACUUGUCUAUGCAUAUUAUUUGACUGCUCUUUGAAAUGCAAUAAACUUUUCAAAGAAUUGAUAGUUUUUUGUUUUACUUUGUUUUUUAAACAUAAGAUAGUAUUACAUUUCAGCAUUGCUGAAGCAUGCAAUCUGAUAGUCUGAAAAAAUAAUUAGAACAUCCAUUUCCAUAACAUAUAUAAUGACAUAGCCAUCUUAAUUUUUUAUUGAAACCAUUGAGCCAGAUACAUUUCAAAGUUCAGAAUUUUUCAGGGUCUAGAGAGGUAACACCUAGCAUAUGUCAUGUAAUUAUAUAAUACCCACAGCAGGGUCUAGAGCAGUACCCUGUAAUGACCAUAUUGGUAGUUUUGCAGCAAAAUUCUUAAUAUUAAAAUAGAUUUUGCUACCAAAUGGACUUUGGUGCUAAGUUUACCAAACAACAACAACAAAACCAAAACAUUCCAUUUUCAGAAGCUUUUGGAUUUUGGAAUCGCAGAUAAGUGGUGGACCUAUAGUAAAUCUGUGCCCCUCAAAGGAUCCUCUUAAGGAUUGUGGGAACCGAAGAGGAAGAGUUGCCAAUAAUUUGGCUUGUAAUUGAAGAAGAAAAUUUUAUUGCUGCUUUCUACCUGCUAAAUUCUUUUUUUUAAUUAUUUUUUUUAAAUUUUCUUUUUCUCAGCAAAGCAAGGUACUUCUAUAUAGAAGGAACAAUGGAGUGCACACUUGGAGAAGGGAGGGCAAGGGGUUCUUAUCCCUGACGCACGUCACCCCUGCUGCUGUGUCGUUCCCCUAUUGGCUAGGGUUAGACCUCACAGGCUAAACUAAUUCUAAUUGGCUAAUUUAAAGAGAAUGAAGUGGUGAGUGCUUUGGCGGGAGUCAGGGCAGAGCAGGUAGCAGGUAAUCAGAAUGAGUUAGGGUGGAGCAGGUGAUCCGAAUGAGUUAGAGUGGAGUAGGUAAUCGGAAUGAGUCAGGGUGGAGUAGGUAAUCAGGAUGAGUCAGGGUGGAGUAGAUAAUCGAAAAAGAUUGCUUUACGAGGAAGUUAAGUUUAAAAGUAGAAGGCAGAGAAUUGAACAUACUGACGUAUUAGUUUGUUUGUUUUUUUUGUUUUUGUUUUUGUUUUUGUUUUUUUUUGAGACGGAGUCUCGCUCUGUCGCCCAGGCUGGAGUGCAGUGGCACGAUCUCGGUUCACUGCAAGCUCCGCCUCCCGGGUUCCCGCCAUUCUUCUGCCUCAGCCUCCUGAGUAGCUGGGACUACAGGCACCCGCCACCACGCCCGGCUAAUUUUUUUGUAUUUUUAGUAGAGACGGGGUUUCACCAUGUUAGCCAGGAUGGUCUCGAUCUCCUGACCUUGUGAUCCGCCUGCCUCGGCCUCCCAAAGUGCUGGGAUUACAGGCGUGAACCACCUCGCCCGGCCGACAUAUUAAUUCUUUGAAAAGAAAUUUAGAACUCAUACCUAACAACUCUUCCUCUUGUAUUUCCUUACAGCUUUCUUUUCAAACUUUUUAAACAUGUCUUAGCUUAGUUGUUUUGCUUGAUUUUCCAAAAGAAGAAGCUUCUCUGGAUAAGGUGGAGGAUAGCUAAGGGAGGUUUUAGUAAGUGCCGUUUUUAUGAACCUCUGCAUCGACUUACGGAUGCAUGGUAUGACACAGCACCCGACAAGAAUAAGUAUACCUAUUACGGGUGUGAGGUAAAUUCUUAAGACUCAUCUGCAGAAUGUCUCUUAGGCUGCAUAAAAUACAGACUUUGCACAAAACUUGGUCUAAAAUGAGUAACUUGAAAAAAUUAUUCUCCUACUGACAUCAGCUCGUUGAGCUUUAAUUGUGCCUCUGAUUUACAUGAGAAAACAUAAAAGGGAGUAGAAAGUUACAAUUAAAGGAAGGAAAACAGUCCCUUUCAGCUACUGCCACAGAUCUAUUGUACAGAAUACUUCUCUAUGGAAUACUUCCUCUAUGGCCACAGGCCAGUUCCACUCAGCACUCCUCUCUUUGAAGAGGCCACAAAUCUGACUAAUUUUCAUUUAACUUCAUGGGGCAAGGAAGGGGGCUUCACAGAAUUUCCUAAUCUGUUUCUCUUUAUCAAAUACAUAAUCACUUUUUCUAUCUGCUGAAAAAUAAACCUGCAACAAAAUGAUCAAGACAGUAGAAAAUGCUGUUAUUAUAUUAUUUGAUUGGAGAGCAAAGGCUAAUUUUUGUUUCCUAUUAUAUUCCUUUUGAUUACUAGCACAUGGCAACACUCUGAACACAGUAGGUGCUUUUUGUGUCUAUUAAACUGGAUUUGAGGUGGCACCUGCUCUGUACAUACAUGCCUUUGGUUUGUUUCUUUUUUGCUUUUCAAAAGAUUCCUAUGCUUCCUCAGUGUUGAGACUACUUUUUCUGUUUUCUUUCUCUGGGAUUCAGAGACACUGAGUUCUGCUCCUGGAGUUAUUUAUAGUUUUGGUAGCUAGGUCUCACAUACCUCCUUUGUGCUUCCAAGAGUGUUGUAGGAGUAUAUGUUCUGUCACUGCAGAUGAUCUGUUUUCAUCAUAUUAACAAGGAGAUGGCUGACUAGGUGCUGUGCUUCCCUUUUAGUUGUUCCUUUAUAUUUUUAUGAAUUAAUUUCUGUUUACUUUUGAUAAUUUUCUUAACAGACAUUUGUGCCUCUAUGCAAUCAUAUGUGUCUGUUCCCAUAAGCAGCAGCUUAGUCAAUCACUCAGGGAAAUACAUGCAUCUCUAUGCAUUCACCAGACUGAAGUUCUCCCAGAAACAAGCCCCUGUGCUUCAUUAAACUAUUGAUUUGGUUGUCAUAGAUCAGCUGAAAUGUAUAUCCUUAAAAUGAAGGGAAGUCUCAUGAAGCACUUACACUUAUUAUCUGUUUAUCUAAAAAAAUCAGCAUGUAAAAUUCUGACUUAAGGUUAAAAUUUUCUCUGAAGGGUCAACAUUCCAAAUUUUUACUUAGAUUAUUAGUUAGCUGCUCUGUUGAAUUCUCCCCUCUACCUUAUAGAAAUAAAAUAUUUUGGUUGUUGUUGUAAGAAAGAAUCCAUCAUAUCCAUAUAAAGCACCAAGCCACAUGUUUAGCAAUUGUUUCCAAUAACAAAGUAUGAAACUUGAGAAUGACCUUGGAAGUAGAAAGAUAACUAGUCCCAUGACUAUUAUGCCUAUAUUGUGCCUAUUAUGGGCCACUUGCAGUACUAGACCCCCUACAUGCAUUAUAUCAUUUUAUCCUCCCAACAUCUGACAAUGAAAGAAAUGAAGGCAAAAAGAUUAACUUGGGCAUAUGCUAGCAAGUAGCAGAGCUAGGAAUCAUAUCAAGUUUUUCCUAAGUAUGAAAUUGUUAUUUCUGGAGACAUCUCUCCAUUUAUCCCACAUAUUCUGAUUUGUAUAGUUUGGGGAGUGAGAGGUAGUUUUCCAUAUUUUAAUGUAUAUAAAUGACCUAUGCAGAACUCAAAGGCAGAAUUAACAAGGAAGUGAAAAUAGUUUUAUUCUUCUAAUAUCAUGUAUUUCCUUAUAUAUUAAGGAAGAAUUGGUCUCUGUUUAGCAUAACCAUUAUUAAAAAUAUUUAUGUGAGAAAAAAUGUGUCUGGAACUGUUAGAAAUAUACAAUUAAAUAUGUUAUUUGUCCACUUUAUAUGAUAUUUAUGCUAUAUGUGUCUAUUUCUCCUCCUUGCUUUUUAGGUUAUCAGCAUGAAAAUCAGCCUCUGUUUCUAAGAAAUUCUAAAAAUAUUACUCACCUAUGCCUAUCAUGUCCUGCCACAUUAUAAUCUUGGUUACAGCUCUCAAAAUGUCAGAGCAGAUCAUGAACUAAAGAUGUGUCAUAGGUAAAAUCAUUUAAAAGGCAAAUUCAACAUAAUGAACUGAAGAAAAAAAUCCAACCAUGAGAAUAGUUGAUGUUGACUAUAAUUAAAAAAAAAAUAGCAUUCUUUACAAAAUGCAAAACUGUAUGAGCACUAGGAUUAAAACUGCUAAUCCCUUUCUUUUCCCCAGACCUCCCCAGCUAGCCAUAAAUUCCAUCUGGCCCAUUGCAGGGGGCCCUGAUUGCCUCCUGCACUGCUGGAAUUCAGGCAGGAUGGAGAUAGACAGUUUUCACCCCAUGAGUUGGUGAGUUCAGAAAGAGUAUUGUGUUGCUCUGGACAAGCAAUCCUUCCAAAUUUUAGAAACAGUCUGGGGAUGUGUAUUCAAGAAAUCUGCUCCCUUUUCACGUUCUCCCUAGUCCCUUGGAAGGGACACCCAUCUGGGCUGUCCAUCUGUCCAGAAUUGGAUUGUGGUCGCCAAGUCGCUCUUCCCUUCCGGGUGAUUGAUUCAUGAUCAUCAGUGAUCUUCAUCACAUCCGCAGCUCCCCUGGGAGCCGAUAUAUAUUUUUAAAAAUUAACUGAGUGCCUUAACUAGUAGCUGUCGGUGAUACAGUGAGAGAGAAGACACUUCAAGACAGUUGGGAUGACAGACAAGUAAAAAGUAAAAGGAGCUACCAUGGGGAUGUGCAAGAGGCGGUUUGAAAACACCUAAUCUCCCCUCUACCCCCACCGACACCCCACUUGGAGGAUCAAGAAAGGAUUCCUAGGGGAAGUGACAGUUAAGCUAAGUCCCGUAGUAUCACCAGGAAUAUUAGAGGACCAGCCAGAUGAAGAGCAAGUAGGUAACUGGAGGAGCCCUGAGGAAGGACCUAGGGAGGGCAGAAUGAUGUCAUCCACAAGCAAGGAUCACUAUAUGGCAAGAUCCAGUUGGGAGACAGAGAUGGUGGGGAACUCAGAGAAGUGCAAAUGGCUGAGCAUAGCUGGAGAGAAAAUCAUCUGCCACGGAAGCCCUAGUCUGGCAGGAAAGAAGAGUCAUUAGGCAUCAUCUGGCAACUUGGCUUGGAGAAGUCAGAUCAGUCACCAAGAGUCUGGUGGGGCUGCAGCAAUGGCUAGAAAGAACCAGUGACAUGAUUGCCAGAUAGAGUGGUCAGAGAAGACCUUUCUGAGGCCAUGGUAUUUAAGAUGAGACUUGAAGAGCAACAAGAAGCUAGACACACAAAGCAGAUAAUUUUUUAAUGGCCAUUUCUGGAGAGAAGUUUCCAAGGGAUGAAGUUAUUAUACAGUUUCCAAAUAUUCCUGAAGAGGUCUAAAGAAAAUGUAUUCUGAUUCCA